GCCGGUGUAGCUCAGUGGUAGAGCAGCGCAUUCGUAAUGCGCGGGUCGUCAGUUCAAUCCUGACCACCGGCUCCA
rnacentral:tRNA from 1 species